rnacentral:lncRNA from 1 species
GCACAUUUGUUAUCUUUUUUAUUUUGACACAGGGUCUCACUAAAUUAUGUAGCCUGAUCUUGAGACUGCUCUAUGGCCCAGUCAGGUCUUGAACUUGUGAUCAAUCCUCCUGCCUCAGCAUCCUGCGACUCUGGGAUCAAAGGUCUGUGACCAUAGAACUUUGUGUUUUCUUGCUUUGUGAUGCACACAGAGGAUCACAGAGAUCUAUCUUUGGGGUAAAUUUGCUCAUGUGCUGGCAUGUGUGUGGGGUGUGUGCAAGGCAGACUGUGGGGCCAGACACCUAGGGUUCCAGCGGUUCCCCUUCCCACACGACAAUAUAUAAGUUACUCCAUGUUUCUGCAUACCCCAGAUUCUCAAUUUCAUGUAGUCUCUCAGAGUAAUGAUGUCAUGUGACUAUGAAGCUUAAGAAUUCCCACUGUGUGUAUAAGCAAGUUCACAAUAAUCACAUUAUUUAUUCAUUCAAAACUGAAAUAACUGUUCUUCUACUAGGUACUACUCUCCAGGAAUGGCAGCUUAUACCACCACUUGCGAAGCUGAGAAAGGAGAAUUACCAAUCUGGCCAAACUCAGAGACCUGCCCCGCUCCCAAGGUGCUGGGAUUCAAGGCGCCCACCAUCACACCCUGCUACCAUUUUCUCGAUUAAUGAUUGAUACAGGAUAUUAUGGCUUGUAUAUGCUCAGGGAAUGACACUAUUAGCAGGUGUGGCUUUGUUGGAGUAGGUGUGUCACUGUAGGCGUGGGCUUUAAGACCCUCAUCCUGACUGCUUGGAAGUCAGUCUUCUCUUAGUGGCCUUCAGAUGAAGAUGUAGAACUCUCAGCUCCUCCUGCACCAUGCCUGUCUGGAUGCUGCCAUGUUCCCACCUUGAUGAUAAUGGACUGAACCACUGAACCUAUAAGCCAGCCCCAAUUAAUUAAAUGUUGUCCUUUAUAAGAGGUGUCUGUUCAUGGUGUCUCUUCACAGUAGCAAAAUCCUAACUAAGACAUGGGAGGUGAUGCCACCCCUGUGCAGAUGGUCCUGCCAUGAGGAACAAGCCAUUAAGCGGUGUUCCUCCAUGAUCCCUGCUUCCGUUCCUGCCUCCAGUUCUUACCCAGAUGUCUCUCCAUAAUGCACUGUAAGCUGUAAGCCAACUAAACGGUUUCCUCUCCAACUUGUUUUUGGUGAUGCAGUUUUGUCACAGCAACAGAAAGCAAACUAGGACAGUUAGCAGCAAGUUCGCUCCAUUCUUAGUAGCGCAGGAGUAUCAGGCACCAUGUGGCUUUUCUAUGUGGGUGCUGGGGAUUCGAACACAAGACCUUAUGCUUGUGCAGUAAGUACUUUUACCUACUGAGCCACC